rnacentral:tRNA from 1 species
AGAAAAAUAAGCUAAUUUAAGCUUUUGGACUCAUAAUUCAAAUAUAGAAUAUUAUUCUUUUUUCUA